rnacentral:lncRNA from 1 species
GUCAGGGGUUUCUCAUGGAGGGGCUGUUUGCCAGGCUGUAGAGGUUUACCUAGGAGCCAGGGCAAUGUCAGGCCCGGCCCAGAAGUCAAGGUGAAUGCUUAUCACGGGAGUGGGCCACCACAUCCGGCCUGCUCCGCCUUGGAACUCGUCAUUCCAGAUCUCAGAAGACCCACAAGGAGACUUGGACAAACACCAGCCACUGACAGCCAGGCUAGCGUUUCACAGGCUGGACCCAGGGACCAAGAUCCUGAACAAACACCUUUUGAAAAGUCGCUUUGUUUCCCAGGGAGUCAGGUGUGGACAUGCUGCUUCCCAGGGCUCACAGGUGCCUUUUUCUCACCAUCUCAGGUUAAACCCACAUGUGUCACAAAAGAGAAAACUUUUGCUUUAAGAUCCCAAAUUAUCCCCAUGCUCCAAGAAAGAUGAUAGCAAACCUAGAAAUCUGCAUGUGCUCUCUUCUCCUUUAUCCAUAAUCCAAGCCCAUAAGCACAAAUGUCUGCCUUAUUUCAUCGUUAAAUCCCCCAAACCAAAAGUUCUGUUGAUAACAGCGAGAUGGCUGCUCUGGGGAAAGGAAAUAUGCACCUAAGAGCAUUUGUACCACAUUUCGUACAGGGCAUACCUGCAUACUCCUUCCUUCCUUAGUACGGGUCUCUGUAUUGGUACCAGCUCAUGUACUUUGCAUGUGAAGAAAGCUGCUUUGAGAGACCACAAGGUUUUCCAGGUCCCUAUUCCAAAACCCCAACUCAAAAAAGAAUUCUAUAUACCUUCUACUUACUGUUGAUAAGCAGUAUUUAGUAUUUUGCAAC